rnacentral:rRNA from 1 species
CGGCAUGCCUUACACAUGCAAGUCGAACGGCAGCACGGGAGCAAUCCUGGUGGCGAGUGGCGAACGGGUGAGUAAUAUAUCGGAACGUGCCCAGUCGUGGGGGAUAACGUAGCGAAAGCUACGCUAAUACCGCAUACGAUCUAUGGAUGAAAGCGGGGGAUCGCAAGACCUCGCGCGAUUGGAGCGGCCGAUAUCAGAUUAGGUAGUUGGUGAGGUAAAGGCUCACCAAGCCGACGAUCUGUAGCUGGUCUGAGAGGACGACCAGCCACACUGGGACUGAGACACGGCCCAGACUCCUACGGGAGGCAGCAGUGGGGAAUUUUGGACAAUGGGCGCAAGCCUGAUCCAGCAAUGCCGCGUGCAGGAUGAAGGCCUUCGGGUUGUAAACUGCUUUUGUACGGAACGAAACGGUGAGCUCUAAUACAGUUUGCUAAUGACGGUACCGUAAGAAUAAGCACCGGCUAACUACGUG